rnacentral:misc_RNA from 1 species
AUUUAGAUGCAUCAAAAUGUUCAUGUUCAAAAGUAGCCAUUCAAUUGAAUAUUCUCUCACUAUUAUCCUGGGGACAAGGAAUUAAUUAUGAACUAGUGGCAGGGUUUGGAGUUCAAUCCUUGAUUUAUGGGAUGAUUAGGAAAAAUGGGCAUGGCGGGCAUAGAAUAGGGCCUGUUGAGAAAGGUUCGGAUCUCUUGACAUGCACAAUUAAGCUGGGAAUAUUUAUUCGACACAUGUGGAGCUUUUGAUCAUGCAGUCGAUCGUUGAAUUGAUUGUAUGCCUGACUAAUUUAUAUAAGUUGGGUAAUUUUCUGCAUGAUUGCUCUCACACCAAGUUAAAGCAUUUGUUCAUAUGCAUUUAUCAUAUGACAACAUCUAAUUUCUGUUAUUAGUUCUUAAUAUGUUUUGGAUAGACAGGCUUUAGUUACAAUGGAAGAAGAAAUAUCUAUAUCUGGGAUUCCAGAAGGUUCAAGAAAGAUCAAUGGGAAAUACAUUUAAUCUCAUCUCCUUUUAUGUUUAGAAGCUGUCCAUGAAAGAUUGAAG